AACGCACAUUGCGCCCGCCAGUAUUCUGGCGGGCAUGCCUGUUCGAGCGUCAUUUCAACCAUCAAGCCCCCGGGCUUGUGUUGGGGACCUGCGGCUGCCGCAGGCCCCGAAAACCAGUGGCGGGCUCGCUGUCACCCCGAGCGUAGUAGUUUACACCUCGCCCAGGGCGUGCCGCGGGUUCCCGGCCGUUAAACCCCCCACACCACAAGGUUGACCUCGGAUCAGGUAGGAAGACCCGCUGAACUUAA
rnacentral:misc_RNA from 1 species